ensembl:lncRNA novel transcript
ACACGCUGCUUCUAAAACAGCUCACACCUGGCUGCUCACACAGAGGGCCCAGAAACACUGGGUGGCACGAGGAAGCUCCUCCAGGAUUCAGAAUGAACCCAGUUCCAUUGGUGGUUAACUAAGAACUACUUGUCUAAGAAAGUCUCCACACACAUGACCAAAUGGUAACCGAAAGCACCCAAAACACUAGCAGUGCUUCCAAACUUCUUUUGAGUUCCUGAUUUGAUUAAGCACCAGGAACUGUCUCUCCCCAGACAAACAGGCAGUCAUAAGUAUAUGUGCGUGUGCUUGUGUGCGCCUCUGCAUACAUGUGAGACAUCUGGGUUCGAAGGUCGCCUGGAAGCCCAGGCACAGGUGCCCUGGAGAUUGUGAACCCAGGUUAAAGAUCUGCCUGCGAGCUCCCCACAACACUGUCCCUGGAGACCACCCAUGUGGCAGACACUCAAAAUCUGUUGUAUUUGCUAAAUAAAUUAAUAUGGACAAGUUACCCAACA